rnacentral:rRNA from 1 species
GAUGAACGCUGGCGGCGUGCCUAAUACAUGCAAGUCGAGCGAACAGACGAGGAGCUUGCUCCUCUGACGUUAGCGGCGGACGGGUGAGUAACACGUGGAUAACCUACCUAUAAGACUGGGAUAACUUCGGGAAACCGGAGCUGAUACCGGAUAAUAUAUUGAACCGGAUGGUUCAAUAGUGAAAGACGGUUUUGCUGUCACUUAUAGAUGGAUCCGCGCCGCAUUAGCUAGUUGGUAAGGUAACGGCUUACCAAGGCAACGAUGCGUAGCCGACCUGAGAGGGUGAUCGGCCACACUGGAACUGAGACACGGUCCAGACUCCUACGGGAGGCAGCAGUAGGGAAUCUUCCGCAAUGGGCGAAAGCCUGACGGAGCAACGCCGCGUGAGUGAUGAAGGUCUUCGGAUCGUAAAACUCUGUUAUUAGGGAAGAACAAAUGUGUAAGUAACUAUGCACGUCUUGACGGUACCUAAUCAGAAAGCCACGGCUAACUACGUG